GAUACUUCUUUGAGUGUUAUAUCUUCAAAGAGUGGAAUCAGACUUACUUUCUUCUGCCUCCCUGGCUCCACUCCUAAUACACAUUUUGCUCACGUUGCCAGUGUGCAGAUUUGGCUGGGCUGCAAAUGGGGGCUGCACCUAGGAGCACAAGGCAAUUCUCCAGACAGAGCAGCUUCCCAGAAUCCAGGAGGUGCUAGCUUGCUUGAGACUUCUAUAACAGGUUUUCUUCCUGUGAUAACUAACUCCAGUUGCUCAAGAAUCUGACUCACUACAUCGGAUCGACAGUGAGAAUUACAGCA
rnacentral:lncRNA from 1 species